CGCAAGAUUAAAACUCAAAUGAAUUGACGGGGGCCCGCACAAGCGGGGGGAGCAUGUGGUUUAAUUCGAUGCAACGCGAAGAACCUUACCUACUCUUGACAUCCAGAGAACUUUCCAGAGAUGGAUUGGUGCCUUCGGGAACUCUGAGACAGGUGCUGCAUGGCUGUCGUCAGCUCGUGUUGUGAAAUGUUGGGUUAAGUCCCGCAACGAGCGCAACCCUUAUCCUUGUUUGCCAGCGAGUAAUGUCGGGAACUCCAGGGAGACUGCCGGUGAUAAACCGGAGGAAGGUGGGGACGACGUCAAGUCAUCAUGGCCCUUACGAGUAGGGCUACACACGUGCUACAAUGGCGCAUACAGAGGGCGGCCAACUUGCGAGAGUGAGCGAAUCCCAAAAAGUGCGUCGUAGUCCGGAUCGGAGUCUGCAACUCGACUCCGUGAAGUCGGAAUCGCUAGUAAUCGUGGAUCAGAAUGCCACGGUGAAUACGUUCCCGGGCCUUGUACACACCGCCCGUCACACCAUGGGAGUGGGCUGCAAAAGAAGUAGGUAGUUUAACCUUCGGGAGGACGCUU
rnacentral:rRNA from 1 species